UCUGUCCAUCAGAGUCUCUGUUCUCACAUGUGUAAAAGUCACCUGAAGACAAACAUGUGACAAAGUCUCCUGUAAACAUCAGAACUACUAGAAUGAACUUGUUCAGCUCAUCAUCAGGUCGGCUGCAGGUGGAAUGUCUUUCUGACAAUAAACCAAAAAAUUAAAAUUGAAAAAUGGGAAACAAAUUAUGAUUAAAACAUAUUUAAUAAUUAAAUUAACAAAUGAUUUUCUCUCCAUUUUUCCUUCACAGAAAUAAAAACCCAGCAGAAGCUUCCAGCUGUGAAAAGAAGCCGUUUCAGAGCUCUUGAAGUGAAGCUGGUGGUUCUGUAUCUGCUGAUUCUGGCUGGAAUCACAACACGCUCUGCUUUGAACAAGUAUGAAUACAACAAACUUCAAAUCAAACACGAUGAACUUCAGACCAAAUACAACAAACUGAACCACAGUUACAGUCAGCUACAGACUGAAGUUCAGGACACAAAAACCAACCUGACUCAGUUACAGAGCAGUUAUGAUAAACUGAGUAAAAACCACAGUCAGCUACAGGAACGAUACUGGAAGAUGAUAGAAGGUAACAAAAUUUGAAUAACUGAUAGAAAACAUCAGUAUUACACAGUGAUAACCUGACUGUGUCUUUAUUUUGAAGAAUUUUUUUCCCCUGCACACCUGUGUACACAGAGAGCCCUAUGUGGAACAGUGCAUGGGGUGACUGGCGACCCUUGUAGAAAAGAGUUGAUGUGAGCCACAUAUGGGGGGGUCACCCAGCAGCCAUGGUGCUGAAGCCACAGGGAGUUGCGGCGACGUGGCCACAGUCCCUCUGUGCUCUGUGCUGUACAGUAACGUUGGAAAUCAGGUUGUCUUUACUUUGGUUGAUUUAUGAGUCUGUUGUUCCUAAAACUUCAGUAAAUGUAAGAAUUCUGAAGACUCUGAUGAGCUGGAAUAUCAGAAGGACAUUUUUAUAUCUCUGUAUAUGUGAAAGUGAUGUAAAGACAUCAAGUGUUAAUUAAAUUGCUCUUUGGGAAUCAUAUAUUUUUAUGCAAUGAACUCAGUUGUGUAUAGUUGUUUUUGUACUACAACAACAGGUCAGACCACAAGUGUGUUGUUCUUUUACAAUAAACAGCAAAGAUCAGAAAGUGUGUUUGGAUUGACAACAACUGUGAUGACACAUUAUAACCUGUUAUUAAAGUUCUGCCCCUGCUUUGAUC